rnacentral:misc_RNA from 1 species
GAUGAAGAACGUAGCGAAAUGCGAUAAGUAAUGUGAAUUGCAGAAUUCAGUGAAUCAUCGAAUCUUUGAACGCACCUUGCGCCCUUUGGCCAUUCCAAAGGGCAUGCCUGUUUGAGUAUCAUGAACACCUCAACUCUUCAUGGUUUUCCGUGAUGAGCUUGGACUUUGGGGGUCUUGCUGGCCUAUGGUCAGCUCCUCUAAAAUAAAUCAGCUUGCCAGUGUUUGGUGGGUAUCACAGGUGUGAUAACUAUCUACGCUUGUGGUUUUCCACCAGGUAACCUUCAGCAGUGGAGGUUCGCUGGAGCUCACAGAUGUGUCUCUCCUCAGUGAGGACAGCUCUUUGAAUGUUUGAUCUCAAAUCAGGUAGGACUACCCGCUGAACUUAAGCAUAUCAAUAAGCGGAGGA